UAUAGCUUCUUAGUUGGGUUUGGUGGAGGUCUCUGAUUUGUCAAGAGAAAAUCUUGGUUGAUUUGAACAAGAACAGUCCUCCUCAGGCAGCCGUCUAGAGAACAUGGACAGUUUUUUAAGCCGUGCAGUUGAAACGUUUUUUUACGCAAAAUUCCGGGGGAAACCCCUGUAAAGAUCGCCGACCAGAGCAACAGAGGUUACAAGAUCACCACCUCGGUGGUGAUGAUUGAAACAAGAUCUCGGGAACAAGGUCGCCGAAACCAGAAAUAAGAUCGUCGAAACAAGAUAUGCGAAACCUGAAACAAGAUCGCCGAAACCAGAGAGAAAAUUGUUGUAACAACCCAUGAAAUGUAAUAGACAAGAUGGUAAUCCAGGGCUGUUUAAAAAAAAAAUCUGGACGCCUCGAUUAUUUUUUAUUUUAGCUUCCGGUUCCUACUGCUGCUGGGAUUUAAGUGAUUAGUUUUUUUGCAAAUUGUGCUUGCAUUUUUCUUUAGUAACUAAAGCUGUGAAAGGUACUUUUUAUAAUGUAAUAAAAUUUAGAAAAUGUU